CCCAGUUUAUCUUGCGGGAUGAGAAGGAUCUAGGCUGUUGUACCAAGCACUACAACACAGGCAAGGAAACUGAAGCUCAAAAUGCUUGGGUGUUUUGCCCAAAGUCACACAGUGGAAGGUUCAGGAUUCAAACCCAGGCAGUCUGACUCUGGAGCCCUCCUGCUCCUUAUCCUCUUGCUGUGCGGUCACGUGAAAG
rnacentral:sRNA from 1 species